UACGUAGGGUGCAAGCGUUAAUCGGAAUUACUGGGCGUAAAGCGUGCGCAGGCGGUUUUGUAAGUCUGUCGUGAAAGCCCCGGGCUCAACCUGGGAAUUGCGAUGGAGACUGCAAGGCUUGAAUCUGGCAGAGGGGGGUAGAAUUCCACGUGUAGCAGUGAAAUGCGUAGAGAUGUGGAGGAACACCGAUGGCGAAGGCAGCCCCCUGGGUCAAUACUGACGCUCAUGCACGAAAGCGUGGGGAGCAAACAGG
rnacentral:rRNA from 1 species